UCGGGAAUUUUGGGCAAUGGGCGCAAGCCUGAUCCAGCAAUGCCGCGUGAGUGAUGAAGGCCUUAGGGUUGUAAAGCUCUUUUACCAGGGAUGAUAAUGACAGUACCUGGAGAAUAAGCUCCGGCUAACUCCGUGCCAGCAGCCGCGGUAAUACGGAGGGAGCUAGCGUUGUUCGGAAUUACUGGGCGUAAAGCGUACGUAGGCGGUGACUCAAGUCAGAGGUGAAAGCCUGGAGCCCAACUCCAGAACUGCCUUUGAAACUAGGUCGCUAGAAUCACGGAGAGGUGAGUGGAAUUCCCAGUGUAGAGGUGAAAUUCGUAGAUAUUGGGAAGAACACCAGUGGCGAAGGCGGCUAACUGGUCCGGUACUGACGCUGAGGUGCGAAAGCGUGGGGAGCAAACAGGAUUAGAUACCCAUGUAGUCCCUGAGCGGGCUGGCAAGGCGCAU
rnacentral:rRNA from 1 species